UAUAUUUGCAAAAAUUUUGGUUUCCAAGGUAUUGGAAUUAAUAGGGAAUUGGGUGGAAAUCCCAAGCUGUCCCCGCAACUGUAAAUCGCAUCAAAAUUUUCUACAAAUAAACCACUGCCAACGCGGGAAGGUGUAGAAAAGCGAAAGUCAGGAGACCUGCCAGAUUUUAACAAUAAUAA
rnacentral:ncRNA from 1 species